rnacentral:rRNA from 1 species
AUACGGAGGACGCGAGCGUUAUCCGGAUUCAUUGGGUUUAAAGGGUGCGCAGGCGGCCGUGCAAGUCAGCGGUGAAAGCCCGGGGCCCAACCCCGGAAGUGCCGUUGAUACUGCAUGGCUUGAAUGCGGUCGAGGCGGGCGGAACGGGGCGUGGAGCGGGGAAAUGCGUAGAUAUGCCACAGAACGCCGAUAGCGGAGGCAGCUCGCCAGGCCUGCAUUGACGCUCGGGCACGAAAGCGUGGGGAUCGAACAGGAUUAGAUACCCUGGUAGUCCACGCCGUAAACGAUGGGCGCUCGUCGUCGGCGGCAGACAGUCGGCGGCCAAGCGAAAGCGAUAAGCGCCCCACCUGGGGAGUACGGUCGCAAGGCUGAAACUCAAAUGAAUUGACGGGG